rnacentral:rRNA from 1 species
CGCAUCUGUGCAUGCAGCAUAUCAAUAAGCGGAGGAAAAGAAACUAACAAGGAUUCCCCUAGUCAACGGCGAGUGAAGCGGGAAGAGCUCAAAUUUGAAAUCUUAAAGGGUUUCCCUUUACGAAUUGUAGUUUAAAGAAGUGUUUUCUGUUGAGGUUUUGGUAAAAGUUCUUUGGAAUAGGACAUCAUAGAGGGUGAGAAUCCCGUAUUUGACCUUUACUUUCAACUUUGUGAUACACUUUCAAAGAGUCGGAUUGUUUGGGAAUGCAGUCCAAAAUGGGUGGUAAAUUUCAUCUAAAGCUAAAUAUUGGCGAGAGACCGAUAGCGAACAAGUACCGUGAGGGAAAGAUGAAAAGAACUUUGAAAAGAGAGUUAAACAGUACGUGAAAUUGUCAAAAGGGAAGCGUUUGACACCAGUGUUGUUUUUCUGAAAAUCAAUUAAAGAACUGUUUAUGCUAAGCUGUUUAGGACUUUAUCAGCUAUCUGUUUAGUUUUGAGCUUUUCUUUAAUGCACUUUUCAGUUAACAAGUCAACAUCAAUUUCUUUUGCUGUAAAAAAGCUUGAGGAAGGUGGCUUGAGAUUCGUCUUAAGUGUUUAUAGCCUCUUGCCUAUGCAGUCGGAGAGAUUGAGGUCUGCAGCGUAGAUCCUUCGGGGCUAAAUGCAUUUGUGCUAAGUUAUAGCAUUUUAUAGACAACUUGUUGACUAUGAUUUGUCUUGUAGCUUACUCGCUUAUGUUAUUUUACCUACGCUUAGGAUGUUGAGUCGUAGAGCACGCAG